rnacentral:rRNA from 1 species
UACGAAGGGUGCAAGCGUUGUCCGGAAUUACUGGGCGUAAAGAGCGCGCAGGCGGUCGUUCAAGUCGCGUGUGAAAGCCCCCGGCUCAACUGGGGAGGGUCACGCGAUACUGAUCGACUCGAAGGCAGGAGAGGGAAGUGGAAUUCCCGGUGUAGUGGUGAAAUGCGUAGAUAUCGGGAGGAACACCAGUGGCGAAGGCGACUUCCUGGCCUGUUCUUGACGCUGAGGCGCGAAAGCUAGGGGAGCAAACGGG